rnacentral:rRNA from 1 species
CCUACGGGGGGCUGCAGUGGGGAAUCUUGCGCAAUGGGGGAAACCCUGACGCAGCGACGCCGCGUGCGGGAUGACGGUCUUCGGAUCGUAAACCGCUUUUCCCAGGGACGAUUGUGACGGUACCUGGGGAAUAAGCCCCGGCUAACUCCGUGCCAGCAGCCGCGGUAAGACGGAGGGGGCAAGCGUUGUCCGGAAUUACUGGGCGUAAAGCGCUCGUAGGCGGUAUCAUACGGCGGUGGUGAAAGCUCCCGGCUCAACUGGGAGAGGCCCGCCGCAACGGUGGUACUUGAGGGUGGUAGAGGCAGAUGGAAUUCCUGGUGUAGCGGUGAAAUGCGUAGAGAUCAGGAGGAACACCCGUGGCGAAGGCGGUCUGCUGGGCCACACCUGACGCUGAGGAGCGAAAGCUAGGGGAGCGAACGGGCUUAGAUACCCUGGUAGUC